CGAUAACAGAUGCACCCUCCUUCAUUCGGGCAUUAAAAAUGGUGUAACUAAUUUUGUGCCACUCAACGUCGUCAGGAGUACUAAUGGAAUCCCUCAACAGUUGAAGUAUUUCCUCUGGCUGAGCUUCUUCAAACUUUCGGCUGAACUCGUCGUUCAUAGAGGCACGCAUGAUGCAAUGAACUAUGGUGCGAUCAUUAAGCCAUUUCAAAUAAGUAUCUC
rnacentral:lncRNA from 1 species